AGAAGUAAAAGUCGUAACAAGGUUUCCGUAGGUGAACCUGCGGAAGGAUCAUUACAGAGUUCAUGCCCUCACGGGUAGAUCUCCCACCCUUGAAUAUUUAUACCUUAGUUGCUUUGGCAGGCCGUGGAAACACCAUGGGCUCCGGCUUAUGCGUGCCUGCCAGAGGAAACAAACUCUGUUUUUAGUGAUGUCUGAGUACUAUAUAAUAGUCAAAACUUUCAACAACGGAUCUCUUGGUUCUG
rnacentral:misc_RNA from 1 species